rnacentral:rRNA from 1 species
UACGUAGGGUGCAAGCGUUAAUCGGAAUUACUGGGCGUAAAGCGUGCGCAGGCGGUUCUGUAAGUCUGUCGUGAAGUCCCCGGGCUUAACCUGGGAAUUGCGAUGGAGACUGCAAGGCUAGAAUCUGGCAGAGGGGGGUAGAAUUCCACGUGUAGCAGUGAAAUGCGUAGAGAUGUGGAGGAACACCGAUGGCGAAGGCAGCCCCCUGGGUCAAGAUUGACGCUCAUGCACGAAAGCGUGGGGAGCAAACAGG